rnacentral:rRNA from 1 species
UACGUGGGGCGCAAGCGUUAUCCGGAAUUAUUGGGCGUAAAGAGCUCGUAGGCGGUUUGUCGCGUCUGCCGUGAAAGUCCGGGGCUCAACUCCGGAUCUGCGGUGGGUACGGGCAGACUAGAGUGAUGUAGGGGAGACUGGAAUUCCUGGUGUAGCGGUGAAAUGCGCAGAUAUCAGGAGGAACACCGGUGGCGAAGGCGGGUCUCUGGGCCGAUACUGACGCUGAGGAGCGAAAGCCAGGGGAGCAAACGGG